AUUCAGCAUGGAUCGCUAUUGAAACAGAAAUUACGAUUUUCUCAAUCCUACUUCUGCUGAAAAUCGCAUGUGAAGAGCCGCCCAGAAAGGAUCUGGUCUGGAUGCCAGCUAUCAGAAUACUGACACCGGAAUCCCAACACUAUUUGGAAUGCUGACACUGGCAUCCUGAAUAGGCUCACCAUCCCGGCUCCGGAAUCCCGACAGCCAGGAUGCCGAACGACAAGCCAGCGGGUCUCAGGACAGCUGCCACUCGCUCACCUCACAGCUAGAGGAAGAAUACAAUCAAUCUCACGCUCACGACAGACACCUCCUGGUCAUCCCAAAAUGCUUACUGCGUGACUGACCCUGUUUACUAAGCAGUGCUAGAUUUUGUCUCCCUCACCAGAAACUUAUUUCUCAAAAAUAAAAAUCCUUCUAUAUAUAAUCCCUUUCACAUUCUGGGGCUGAGUCACAUGGAUCUGGAGGGAUGUACUAAACACUGCAUUUAUUUUGCUGUCUUUUCAUGCUGUUAUCGGGACAAGUUUCUGUUGUUACAGCUUCCAUAUCGCUUGUAUGAACUAAACGUUUACUAUUUCUGUGAGCCCUGCACUCGCAGCCUGUGCCCACGAUGUACAGCGGCUUCCCCUGCAGUAUCUGCGCGUGCGCCUUCUAGAUAUUCUGCAGCACUGUCAAGAAUAAUUACCAGGCAUACGGUGCGGUAAGCAAGCUGUAACAGGCCCAUUUAAAGUCUGAUAUCUCCGCUCCUACCAGGCUCCUCAGCAGGCUCCUAGUUUCUAGGAGUACCAAAAGCAAGCCUGAGAUAUUCAGCAUGAAAGUCAAUGGCAUCUACCUGGAAAUCGGCAGCUAUUGGUGGCGUUAAAAAAAAAUACAGCAGCUAGCUUUAGUAAAUAUGACACGCUUGUACUCUCUACAGGUGGAUAUGGGGAGUGACUUCAUCACGAAAACACUGCAGGAUUUCAGGAAUGCGGAAGGAGACACUUAUUUUCUACAAUUAAACUUUAUUAUACAUAGCCAUAUUUAGCUUGGAGUGCGGUAAGCAUAAUUUACCACAAUUUUAGACAUUAGUACAUCCCACGCUAUGGACACAAAUGGUGAGUGUUUGCAGAGAGCGCAUCGACUUUGCGUGUUUUUUUGUAUAUGUCCAUCCUAUUCCGAAACAGAACUUGCAAGGUCUGUUUUCUGUGAAAUAGAGCGUUUCAGGGGUGGGAACUGGGCGAUGGCAAAGAGAUCACAUGGAACCAGGGUCGGACUGGCCCACAGGGGUACAGGGGAAACCCCCAGUGGGCCCCACUACCUGAUGGCCCACCCCCUUCUCUAGGGAACAGUGUACAGUCUAGAACCUGAUCAUAGUGCACAGUCUGGUACCAUAGUCCUAUGCUGGUGUAUUACAAGACUCUGUGGAGGCUGGCCACAGCCCUACAUAUGGGCCCCUGUCAGUGCAUUCCCCGGUGGGCCCUUCUUUCCCCAGUCCGAUACUGCAUGGAACCACCCUGAUUUGGGGAAGUGUCAUGGGCAUGUAUCAAAAGCUCUGGGCAGUUCUGAGUCCUGCUUACGGGAAGGGAGCCUGUUACUGUUAAAUCUCUUACCUAGCAAUGAGGUUGGUGCAAGUGGCGAUAUAAACCAUGAUAGCUGCAGCGGCGAGCAUAAAAUCAGUGGAUGGCGCAGGUCUCCUCUUGAACGCCCACAAUCCCUGACAUUAGGUGAAUGGAUACUGCCUUUAGCAUCAAGUAGCACAACAACAGGCUACUCCUUUUUGUGCUCCUCAGAAUCAGCCUCUCUUUGUGCGCUGCUCAUUCUGUACCUAUGGUUACUAACCCUCAAUACAUUUUCUGUCAGUAAAAAUUAAGACAUUUUAAGCUGUCAGUAAAAAAAAAGUCACAAUGAUAAGGAUCUGCAGCUUUGUUCGAUCAUAGGCCUGCUUGGAAAUAGGGGGAGAUGUAUGAAGCAGAGAAAACAGUGGAGACGUGGGCUAGUGGAGAAGUUGCCCAUGACAACCAAUCAGCUGCUAAUUAUAAUUCUAGAUAAUGGACUUGAUAAAUGUUACCUCAAUGAUGAUUGGUUGCCAUGGGCAUCUUCUUCACUAGCUAACAUCGCCACUCUUCACUGUUUCGUACAUCUCCAUCUUUGGGAGCUAAGCCUUGGACGGUGAUAAAGUA